UACGAAGGGGGCUAGCGUUGUUCGGAUUUACUGGGCGUAAAGCGCACGUAGGCGGUCUAUUAAGUCAGGUGUGAAAUCCCGGGGCUCAACCCCGGAACUGCCUUUGAUACUGGUAGUCUUGAGUUCGAGAGAGGUGAGUGGAAUUCCGAGUGUAGAGGUGAAAUUCGUAGAUAUUCGGAGGAACACCAGUGGCGAAGGCGGCUCACUGGCUCGAUACUGACGCUGAGGUGCGAAAGCGUGGGGAGCAAACAGG
rnacentral:rRNA from 1 species